rnacentral:rRNA from 1 species
AGGGAGCGUAGGCGGCAUGGUAAGCCAGAUGUGAAAGCCUUGGGCUUACCCNGAGGAUUGCAUUUGGAACUAUCAAGCUAGAGUACAGGAGAGGAAAGCGGAAUUCCUAGUGUAGCGGUGAAAUGCGUAGAUAUUAGGAAGAACACCAGUGGCGAAGGCGGCUUUCUGGACUGAAACUGACGCUGAGGCUCGAAAGCGUGGGGAGCAAACAGGAUUAGAUACCCUGGUAGUCCACGCCGUAAACGAUGAGUGCUAGGUGUCGGGGAGGAAUCCUCGGUGCCGCAGCUAACGCAAUAAGCACUCCACCUGGGGAGUACGACCGCAAGGUUGAAACUCAAAGGAAUUGACGGGGGCCCGCACAAGCGGUGGAGCAUGUGGUUUAAUUCGAAGCAACGCGAAGAACCUUACCAAGGCUUGACAUCCCGAUGACCGUCCUAGAGAUAGGACUUCUCUUCGGAGCAUCGGUGACAGGUGGUGCAUGGUUGUCGUCAGCUCGUGUCGUGAGAUGUUGGGUUAAGUCCCGCAACGAGCGCAACCCUUAUCUUCAGUAGCCAUCAUUCAGUUGGGCACUCUGGAGAGACUGCCGUGGAUAACACGGAGGAAGGUGGGGAUGACGUCAAAUCAUCAUGCCCCUUAUGUCUUGGGCUACACACGUGCUACAAUGGCUGGUAACAAAGUGACGCGAAACGGCGACGUUAAGCAAAUCACAAAAACCCAGUCCCAGUUCGGAUUGUAGUCUGCAACUCGACUACAUGAAGCUGGAAUCGCUAGUAAUCGCGAAUCAGCAUGUCGCGGUGAAUACGUUCCCGGGCCUUGUACACACCGCCCGUCACACCAUGGGAGUUGGAAGCACCCGAAGUCGGUGACCUAACCGUAAGGAAGGAGCCGCCGAAGGUGAAGCCAGUGACUGGGGUGAAGUCGUAACAAGGUAACCA